ACUCUACAUCUAUCAGGCAAGUACACACUUAAGAUGAAGUUGUUGCGUGGGAACGGGAACCAAAUGACUUGUAUCACCUUCGAUUUCUCAAUUGGGUUCAGAUCACCCAUCAGCGAGAGUUAAGGUCGAGGCAUGGAUGGGGGACAGCUCUUGUCUACAUCUCGUGUAAGUUUCGAAUUUGUAUCACUACGUGGAUAGUUAAUUUCACUCGAAUAUUGUGAUCGUUCUAGCAGAACUCUGUAUGUAUGCUCAUUCUCCUUUGGAUUGUGAAAACACAAGCAAAUGCUAUAUCCACCUACUUAGAUGAUAUUACAUUGUUCAUAUUUAGAAUUCAAAUCAUGAACUUCUCUAGCAUUUAUAUUUGGGGAUCAUUGCUCGAGAUUUCAAUUAGUAAUUUGAUGUGGGAUGUGAAACGAAAUGCAACUGCGAAUUGAGGGCUACUUCCUGUUAUGAUUACUAGGAAACAUCAUUCAUUUAUGUUA